rnacentral:misc_RNA from 1 species
GUAUUAAUUUAGAGGCAAUAAAGCCCAUUAAUGACAUUCUAAAACAUUCUUAUGGGGUAUAUAAAAACAUAGACUUGAAACGCAAGGAAAGCUUAGCUUUCGCAUAGCAAUCCUCAAACCGAGUUUCCUCGAGAGGUGUUCCAAAUCUACAAGAAGUGCACAGGUGGUAAAAAUGGCGCUAGGCGUGCACAUGCUCCGAAAAGCCAGCAACAACCCAACCAAGUUUAUUCAAUAAUGAUCCUUCCGCAGGUUCACCUACGGAAA